rnacentral:lncRNA from 1 species
AGCUCCCACAGCACACACACACAGCACACACACGGUUUCAGACUUGAACUGAAACAGGGACUGAAUGAGUGGCAAUUGAACUGCCUUCUUCCAUUGCAUUGGGCUGGUUUAUAUACACCAAUACAUGUACCUUCUAAGGUACAGAACUACCUACUACAUACUCCUAAGGUACAAGGCUGAAAUCAGCCAACAACUACUCUAGUACCAGCCAUACUGCUGGUGUACCUCUACUAGUACAUAGUAUGGCCUAUUGCCAUAUACUCUACAGGACCUAGGACUUGGACAGCCAUGAGCUGAUCCAACUACUGCCCUUUGUCCUGGACAGGAAGAAGAGAGAAAGGGGGCAGCAGAUUAUGUCUUACAAAUCUUCCCCUAAUCUUUGCUGCCCUCAUUUGACCUCAGCCAUGCCAAUCAUGCCUCGAAGCUCCAUGAACCUGAGGCGCCCGAGAGACUUGGUGAGAAUGUCAGCAAGCUGUCGCUUGGUGUCGACGAACUCGAUGACAACCUGUCCUCCCUCGACGCAGUCACGAAGGAAGUGGAACUUCACGUCGAUGUGCUUGCUCCUGUCGUGGAGGACUGGGUUCUUGGCCAGCGCAAUGGCUGGCUGGUUGUCCACCUUGAGUGCCGGCGGCUGCGCUUGAACUCCGGUGAGCUCUGUCAGCAGCCGUCUCAUCCAGACCACCUGGCACGCCGCCGUGGCUGCCGCCACGUACUCCGCCUCACAUGUGGACAAGGCCACCAUCUUCUGCUUCAACGAUUGCCAGGCAAUUGGCGCACCGCCGAGGAAGACGAGUACGCCGGAAGUGCUCCGCCGUCCAUCAAUGUCUCCUGCCAUAUCCGCAUCGCUGAAGACCGUGAGUCCCGACGCACCUUCCUUGGUCUCGGGCGGUGCUUCACUGAACACCCUCAGCUGAAGCCCGCCGCGCUUGGGGAAGACAAGUCCCCACUCCGCCGUGCCUUGAACAUAGCGCAGCAGUCGUUUGACCGCCGCCCAAUGAUCCUCCCGUGGAUCCUCCAUGAAACGGCUCACAUAACCCACCGCAAAAGCGAUGUCCGGCCGUGUGUGAGUCAGCCAGCGCAAACCGCCGACGACACUCCGGUAGAGUGUGGCAUCCACCUUCACCGCGGUGCUCUGCUUCGAGAGCUUGAUGCGCUCCAACAUGGGCGUGGCCACCGCCUUGCUGCCUGCCAUCCCUGCCCGCUCGAUCAGCUUCAGUGCAUAAGCCCGCUGUCCAAGCUUGAUGGUGUCUUCUCCUUGCUUCACCUCGAUGCCGAGGUAGUAGGAUAGAGGACCCAGGUCACUCAUCCGAAAGCGCGCCGCCAUCUGUUCUUUGAACUGGGCGAUGUCUGCUGCGCGCGCUCCGGUGACGAUGAGAUCGUCCACGUACACCCCGACGAUGAGAUGCUCCUUCCCCCGUCGGCGGGUGUACAGGGCGUGCUCCGUGGCGCACCGCUGAAACCCGAGCUCCGCCAUGGUGGCGUCGAGCUUGGCGUUCCAGGCUCGUGGCGCCUGACGCAGCCCGUAGAGGGCCUUCCGCAGGCGCAGAACCUUCCGCUCCGCUCCCUUGACGAUGAACCCCGGCGCUUGCUUGACGUAGACGGUCUCAGCCAGGUCCCCGUUGAGGAACGCCGACUUCACGUCCAGAUGGUGAACUUGCCAGUCCUUGGCCCCGGCGAGCGCGAGCAACAGCCGCACAGACUCCAUGCGCGCGACAGGGGCGAACACUUCUUCGAAAUCAAUCCCCUCGCGUUGCACGAAUCCACGGGCCACGAGUCGCGCCUUGUGCUUCACCACUGCGCCGCGCUCGUCCCGCUUCACUUUGAAGACCCACUUGAGCCCGAUCGGCCGACAGCUUGCCGGCGGAUCGACCAAGUCCCAGAUCCCAUUCUGCUCGAUGGCCUCCAUCUCUUCUAGCAUCGCCUUGCGCCACGCCGCGUCGCGCUCCGCAACGGCAAAUGUGGUUGGCUCCUCCGCACUCAUGAGGAGCAGAGCGUCGCUGCCGAGCCCACAAGCCGCCAGGCCCGGCACCUCUGCUUCCCCGAUGACGUUGUCGAUCCUGCGGAACCGUACCUCCUCCCCUUCGUGGAAGGCGUCCACGAACUCAGAGACAUCGGACGGCGGCGAGGCAUACUCAACCGUGGCCGUCGUCGGCGUCCUCUGCGCAAGCGAGACAGGGGAUUCAUCCCCCAUCGAUCCUGGCACGCCCACGCUCCCAGCCCCGCCCGGGCUAGGAGGCUCCUCUGCUUCGACCGCAGCUGGCGGCUCAGCGCUUGCCGCCCCGUUGGGUGCUUCCCCGGUCACCGGCUGCCUUGCUGUCUCGCCGUGGCCAUGGAUCACCAGGUGCUCCACGGUGAAGGAGUCCCGGAUCCCUCCGUCGCCUCGUCCACCUCCGGCCUCGGCCUCCUCCCACCUCCAGGCUGCAGCUUCGUCAAAGACGACGUCCCUGGAUACCAGCACUUUACCCCGAAUCGGGUCAUAGAGCCGGUAAGCCUUCGUCCCCGACUCAUAGCCGAGAAACACCGCCUUGACGCUCCUGUCUUCGAGUUUAGCCAGUCCAGGCUUCACCUUCUUGACGUGCCCGAUGCAGCCGAACGUCUUCAGGUACGAGACAUUAGGCUUGCGCCCAUGCCAUGCCUCGUACGGUGUCACUCCCUUCAGUGCCUUCGUUGGUGACCGGUUCAGGAUGAACACGGCCGUGGUGACUGCCUCCCCCCAGAACUCCGGCGGCAUGCUCUUGGCCUUCAUCAUCGAUCGGGCCAUGCCCACAAUCGUUUGAUUCCGCCGCUCCACCACACCGUUCUGUUGUGGCGAGUAUGGCGCAGUAAGAUGGCGCUCAACUCCCUCGCCUGCGCAGUACUCGGCGAACUGCACCGCCGUGAACUCGCCGCCGCGAUCGGUACGCAGCACCCGAAGCUUCCUCCCAGACUCUGCCUCUGCGCCUUCCUUGACGGCUUUGAUGGCGUCCGCUGCCUCGUCCUUGCUUGACAGCAGCCGGAGCCACAUGUACCUGCUGCUGUCGUCCACGAGCAGCAGGAAGUAGCGCCGACCUCCGUGCGUCGCCGGCGUAAUGGGCCCGCAAAGGUCCCCGUGGACCAGCUCGAGCCGUUCCGCCGCGCGAUACUUGGCCGCCUUGGGGAACGCCAUCCUCCUCUGCUUCUCGGCGAGGCAGCUAUCACAUAGCUCCCCGGCGUGCUUGAUGCUUGGCAUGCCGGUCACCAUCUUCCCGAGCCGCCCCAGUGCGUCGAAGUUGAGGUGGCCGAGCCGGCCGUGCCACAACCAGGGCUCCUCCGCGCACGCCGCCGCCAGACACACUGGCUGCUCAACCUUCAGAUCAAGGAGAUAGAGACGAUUACGCGUUCUCUGUACCUUCGCCAGGAGUCGGCCAUCCUGGUCCUUGAUCCUGAGCACGCCGUUGCGGAUGAUGACCUCCGCUCCGUGCUCGUCCAUCUGCCCAAGGCUGAUGAUGCUCGAACGCAGCUCCGGGAUGAAGUACACGUCCGUGAGCGCACGGUGUUCGCCGUCCUUGCACCAGAACAGCACCGUGCCGCGCCCACGAAUCUGAACCCACGAGCCGUCGCCGAACUUGACACUCCCUGUGUGUCCUUCGUCCAGCUCGGAGAAGGCCGCCCGAAGACCAGUCAUGUGGUUGCUGGCGCCGGAGUCCAAGUACCACCGCUGCUCCGUCUCUUCCCCGGCGACUCCCAGAUGAGCCUGCCCCUGCACGCGGGGCUCCUCGAGCUGAUGGAUGACCGGCGGUGCACUCCUCUGCUCCACCACCUCCAGCUCUGCCUCACCGCACGCCCCUGCGCAGUAUACACCCAUCAGGAGUGCGUGAUCACCGUCACUGUCGUCCUGAGCCAGGUGCGCCUCAUCCUUCUUCUCCUUGCGCUCUGGGCACUCCCGCGCCCAGUGCCCAACCUUGCCGCACUUGCGACAGGCGUUUGGGUCGGAGAACUUCUUCUUGCCCUUCCUCUUGUCCGCCGGCCCCUUGUUCUGCUGCUUGCCGCCGCCGCGAUCGCCGCCACCACGGCUGGAGCCUUCCCCGGACCGCCUCUUCUCCUUCAUGCGUGCUGACCACUCCUCCUCGGUCAGCAGGAGCUUGGGCUUCUCCUUCUCCAGCGCCGGCGUGGUGCGGCUCUCUGCUACCCGCAGCCGCCCGGCCACGUCCUCCAGAGACAGCGUGGAGAUGUCCAGCAUGGUCUCGAUGGACAUGGCGAGCUGCGAGUAUCUUGCCGGCACGGUGCACAGCAACUUGGUGACGAGGUCCUCGUCGUCCACCUUCUUGCCGUAGGUGGCCAGUUGCGUGGCCAGGGACUGGAGGCGAAGAGUGAAGUCCUCCACCGACUCCCCGGGCUUGAACUUGAUGUCGUUCAGCUCCCUGCGCAGCUGCUGAAUCCUUGCCCUCUUAGCUCGAUCCGAGCCAAUGCGCAGGGACUCCAGCAUCUCCCAGGCCUGCUUCGCAGUGUCCUUUGCGCCCAGCGCCUCAUGGUACUCCGCCGGCGUCGAGGCCAUGAGCGCCUCCAUGACUCCCACCUGGGCGUCCUCGGUGCGGUCAUCCUCCUCAAUCGCCCGCCACCACUUGCGCGCGCGAAGCUUCCACUUCAUCUGCGUCGCCCACUCACCGUAGUUGGUCCGGGUGAGCAUGGGCCAGGAGCCGCUGCCACCGAACUCCUUCACCACGCGCACCUCAACCUGCGGUGGCGCCGGCUGGAGCUGUCGCUCACCACCUUCCCCGCCACCAUUCCGGCCCGCACUCUCCGCCAUUGCUGGUCAGGGGACCUAGCUAUGGCUUGUACGGCUCCGAUACCAAUUGUUGGCACAGGGACCCUGCACCGAGGUGAGCAGCACCUGCUCUCCUCCCCUCUCCCUCUCCCCUGCUCCAAGGUAGAAGAAGAGCCCUGAGCUCCCACAGCACACACACACACAGCACACACACGGUUUCAGACUUGAACUGAAACAGGGACUGAAUGAGUGGCAAUUGAACUGCCUUCUUCCAUUGCAUUGGGCUGGUUUAUAUACACCAAUACAUGUACCUUCUAAGGUACAGAACUACCUACUACAUACUCCUAAGGUACAAGGCUGAAAUCAGCCAACAACUACUCUAGUACCAGCCAUACUGCUGGUGUACCUCUACUAGUACAUAGUAUGGCCUAUUGCCAUAUACUCUACAGGACCUAGGACUUGGACAGCCAUGAGCUGAUCCAACUACUGCCCUUUGUCCUGGACAGGAAGAAGAGAGAAAGGGGGCAGCAGAUUAUGUCUUACAA